rnacentral:tRNA from 1 species
AGAGAGGUGUCCGAGAGGCUGAAGGAGUACGCUUGGAAAGCGUAUAAACGGGAAACUGUUUCGAGGGUUCGAAUCCCUUCCUCUCUG